rnacentral:rRNA from 1 species
UUUUUAUUUAAAACCCUUUACUUAAUACUGAUUAUACUGUGGGGACGAAAGUCUCUGCUUUUAACUAGAUAGCAACUUUCAGCAGUGGAUGUCUAGGCUCGCACAUCGAUGAAGAACGCUGCGAACUGCGAUACGUAAUGCGAAUUGCAGGAUUCAGUGAGUCAUCGAAAUUUUGAACGCAUAUUGCACUUCCGGGUUAGUCCUGGAAGUAUGCCUGUAUCAGUGUCCGUACAACAAACUUGGCUUUCUUCCUUCCGUGUAGUCGGUGGAGGAGAUGCCAGAUGUGAAGUGUCUUGCGGUUGGUUUUCGGACCGACUGCGAGUCCUUUUAAAUGUACUAAACUGUACUUCUCUUUGCUCCAAAAGUGGUGGCAUUGCUGGUUGUGGACGCUGCUAUUGUAGCGAGUUGGCGACCGGUUUGUCUGCUGCGGCGUUAAUGGAGAAAUGCUCGAUUCGUGGUAUGGUUGGCUUCGGCUGAACAAUGCGCUUAUUGGGUGAUUUUCCUGCUGUGGCGUGAUGGACUGGUGAACCAUGGCUCUUUAGCUUGGCAUUUGAAUCGGCUUUGCUGUUGCGAAGUAAAGUGGCGGCUUCGGCUGCCGAGGGUCGAUCCAUUUGGGAAAUGUUGUGUACUUCGGUAUGCAUCUCAUUGGACCUGAUAUCAGGCAAGAUUACCCGCUG